rnacentral:rRNA from 1 species
UAAAGCGUGCGCAGGCGGUUAUGCAAGACAGAGGUGAAAUCCCCGGGCUCAACCUGGGAACUGCCUUUGUGACUGCAUAGCUAGAGUACGGUAGAGGGGGAUGGAAUUCCGCGUGUAGCAGUGAAAUGCGUAGAUAUGCGGAGGAACACCGAUGGCGAAGGCAAUCCCCUGGACCUGUACUGACGCUCAUGCACGAAAGCGUGGGGAGCAAACAGGAUUAGAUACCCUGU